GCGGGAAUGGCGCAAUGGUAGCGCAUCUGUUUCCCAAACAGAAGGUUGCGGGUUCGAGCCCCGUUUCCCGCU
rnacentral:tRNA from 1 species